AGUGAACGCUGGCGGUAGGCCUAACACAUGCAGGUCGAACGGCAGCACAGUAAGAGCUUGCUCUUACGGGUGGCGAGUGGCGGACGGGUGAGGAAUACAUCGGAAUCUACUUUUUCGUGGGGGAUAACGUAGGGAAACUUACGCUAAUACCGCAUACGACCUACGGGUGAAAGCAGGGGAUCUUCGGACCUUGCGCGAUUGAAUGAGCCGAUGUCGGAUUAGCUAGUUGGCGGGGUAAAGGCCCACCAAGGCGACGAUCCGUAGCUGUCUGAGAGGAUGAUCAGCCACACUGGAACUGAGACACGGUCCAGACUCCUACGGGAGGCAGCAGUGGGGAAUAUUGGACAAUGGGCGCAAGCCUGAUCCAGCCAUACCGCGUGGGUGAAGAAGGCCUUCGGGUUGUAAAGCCCUUUUGUUGGGAAAGAAAAGCAGCAGGUUAAUACCCCGCUGUUCUGACGGUACCCAAAGAAUAAGCACCGGCUAACUUCGUG
rnacentral:rRNA from 1 species